GGUCCGAUGCCACGUUGACGGUAGUCAAAAUAUGUCAUUGACCGACAAUGCUAUGAUUGGACCUAUAAAAAUUCCAUAUUUCGCAUACUGAUAGGAACCUGGGAUUGAUUUUAAACCAUUCAUCCACAGAGCCGAUUUUUGCGAUUACAUUU
rnacentral:snoRNA from 1 species